GAUGGCGGCAAGACACCAUGGCAGCUUUUUUGACAUACAAGGGGUGUAGGUUACCUCAUUUAUCACAUUUACUGACAUACAAGGGGCGUAGGUUACCUAAUUUAUCACAUUUACUGACAUACAAGGGGUGUAGGUUACCUCAUUUAUCACAUUUACUGACAUACAAGGGGUGUAGGUUACCUCAUUUAUCACAUUUACUGACAUACAAGGGGUGUAGGUUACCUCAUUUAUCACAUUUACUGACAUACAAGGGGUGUAGGUUACCUCAUUUAUCACAUUUACUGACAUACAAGGGGUGUAGGUUACCUCAUUUAUCACAUUUACUGACAUACAAGGGGUGUAAGUUACCUCAUUUAUCACAUUUACUGACAUACAAGGGGUGUAGGUUACCUCAUUUAUCACAUUUACUGACAUAUAAAGGGUGUAGGUCAUCUAAUUUAUCACUUUAAAAAAGAUAAAGAAUAAACUUAGGUGGGACGUUUCAUGAUAGGCAGUCAACAAAAGACACGGUACCGUGUCAUAGCUCAUCCACCCUCUGUUUGUAAACAAAGCCCGCGCAUGCGCAGAUCAGGAUGGGAUGUCUUAUUAUAGCGGCUGU